ACCCAAGGAUGGUUUGAUCUUCAGAGC
rnacentral:piRNA from 1 species